UACGUAGGUGGCGAGCGUUGUCCGGAUUUACUGGGCGUAAAGAGCGCGCAGGCGGUCGGUCAAGUCGAGUGUGAAAGCCCCCGGCUCAACUGGGGAGGGUCAUUCGAUACUGAUCGACUGGAAGGCAGGAGAGGGAAGUGGAAUUCCCGGUGUAGUGGUGAAAUGCGUAGAUAUCGGGAGGAACACCAGUGGCGAAGGCGACUUCCUGGCCUGUUCUUGACGCUGAGGCGCGAAAGCUAGGGGAGCGAACGGG
rnacentral:misc_RNA from 1 species